AUUUUUAGCUUUCUGAGGGAUCUCCAUACCACUUUCCAUAAUGACUACCAAUCUACAUUCCCACAGCAGUGUAGAGGAGUUCCUUCUGCUCCAUAUCCUUGCCAGCGUUUAUUGUCUCCUGACCAGGAACUUUUGUGAGUGCGUUGAUGGCCCAGAGCUUUAAAUAUCACCAGCCCCAAGAGCACCACUCUCUGAACCAGAGAUGAAGGUGUCUAUGUUCCAAACGCAGAUGAAUGGCCCCUGUGGAAUUUUGAAGGUGACUGAAAAACCUGUAGCUUGGACUCACGGCCGUCUGGAUUUCUUUGACUUGUUUGAAAGCCAAGAGUAAUUGGAUUCCUACAAACGUGGCUGAAUUUUCGACAUCACUGAGAUGAGAAAAAAAUGGAGAAUUUGAAGCAACGCAAGAUUCGCAAAUUCAGAAACUUCCUUUGUUCUCCAGCUAAGAUUGACCUUUUCCUCUCAGGGUUGAAAGGUUAUGUCCUAAUAAGUUUGGAUUGUGCAACCGAAAAGAUAUAUUUCCAUUAAAUGAAGCAAAGCUGUAAAAGCCA